CAUAGCCACGGUAAUGCGUAGGUGGCAAGCGUUGUCCGGAAUUAUUGGGCGUAAAGGGCUCGCAGGCGGUUUCUUAAGUCCGAUGUGAAAGCCCCCGGCUCAACCGGGGAGGGUCAUUGGAAGCUGGGAAACUUGAGUGCAGAAGAGGAGAGUGGAAUUCCACGUGUAGCGGUGAAAUGCGUAGAGAUGUGGAGGAACACCAGUGGCGAAGGCGACUCUCUGGUCUGUAACUGACGCUGAGGAGCGAAAGCGUGGGGAGCGAACAGGAUUAGAUACCCCGGUAGUCCCUGUCUCUUAUACC
rnacentral:rRNA from 1 species